rnacentral:rRNA from 2 species
AAAGAAACCAACCGGGAUUGCCUCAGUAACGGCGAGUGAAGCGGCAAGAGCUCAAAUUUGAAAGCUGGCUCCUUCGGGGUCCGCAUUGUAAUUUGCAGAGGAUGCUUCGGGCGCAGCCCCCGUCUAAGUGCCCUGGAAUGGGCCGUCGGAGAGGGUGAGAAUCCCGUCUGGGAUGGGGUGCCUGUGUCCGUGUGAAGCUCCUUCGACGAGUCGAGUUGUUUGGGAAUGCAGCUCUAAAUGGGUGGUAAAUUUCAUCUAAAGCUAAAUAUUGGCCGGAGACCGAUAGCGCACAAGUAGAGUGAUCGAAAGAUGAAAAGCACUUUGAAAAGAGAGUUAAACAGCACGUGAAAUUGUUGAAAGGGAAGCGCUUGCGACCAGACUCGCUCGCGGGGUUCAGCCGGCAUUCGUGCCGGUGUACUUCCCCGUGGGCGGGCCAGCGUCGGUUUGGGCGGCCGGUCAAAGGCCUCCGGAAUGUAGCCCCCCUCGGGGGGCCUUAUAGCCGGGGGUGCAAUGCGGCCAGCCUGGACCGAGGAACGCGCUUCGGCUCGGACGCUGGCAUAAUGGUCGUAAACGAC